AGGUUAAUGAGGCGAACCGGGGGAACUGAAACAUCUAAGUACCCCGAGGAAAAGAAAUCAACCGAGAUUCCCCCAGUAGCGGCGAGCGAACGGGGAGGAGCCCAGAGCCUGAAUCAGUGUGUGUGUUAGUGGAAGCGUCUGGAAAGGCGCGCGAUACAGGGUGACAGCCCCGUACACAAAAAUGCACAUACUGUGAGCUCGAUGAGUAGGGCGGGACACGUGGUAUCCUGUCUGAAUAUGGGGGGACCAUCCUCCAAGGCUAAAUACUCCUGACUGACCGAUAGUGAACCAGUACCGUGAGGGAAAGGCGAAAAGAACCCCGGCGAGGGGAGUGAAAAAGAACCUGAAACCGUGUACGUACAAGCAGUGGGAGCCUCUUUAUGGGGUGACUGCGUACCUUUUGUAUAAUGGGUCAGCGACUUAUAUUCUGUAGCAAGGUUAACCGAAUAGGGGAGCCGAAGGGAAACCGAGUCUUAACUGGGCGUUAAGUUGCAGGGUAUAGACCCGAAACCCGGUGAUCUAGCCAUGGGCAGGUUGAAGGUUGGGUAACACUAACUGGAGGACCGAACCGACUAAUGUUGAAAAAUUAGCGGAUGACUUGUGGCUGGGGGUGAAAGGCCAAUCAAACCGGGAGAUAGCUGGUUCUCCCCGAAAGCUAUUUAGGUAGCGCCUCGUGAAUUCAUCUCCGGGGGUAGAGCACUGUUUCGGCAAGGGGGUCAUCCCGACUUACCAACCCGAUGCAAACUGCGAAUACCGGAGAAUGUUAUCACGGGAGACACACGGCGGGUGCUAACGUCCGUCGUGAAGAGGGAAACAACCCAGACCGCCAGCUAAGGUCCCAAAGUCAUGGUUAAGUGGGAAACGAUGUGGGAAGGCCCAGACAGCCAGGAUGUUGGCUUAGAAGCAGCCAUCAUUUAAAGAAAGCGUAAUAGCUCACUGGUCGAGUCGGCCUGCGCGGAAGAUGUAACGGGGCUAAACCAUGCACCGAAGCUGCGGCAGCGACACUAUGUGUUGUUGGGUAGGGGAGCGUUCUGUAAGCCUGCGAAGGUGUACUGUGAGGUAUGCUGGAGGUAUCAGAAGUGCGAAUGCUGACAUAAGUAACGAUAAAGCGGGUGAAAAGCCCGCUCGCCGGAAGACCAAGGGUUCCUGUCCAACGUUAAUCGGGGCAGGGUGAGUCGACCCCUAAGGCGAGGCCGAAAGGCGUAGUCGAUGGGAAACAGGUUAAUAUUCCUGUACUUGGUGUUACUGCGAAGGGGGGACGGAGAAGGCUAUGUUGGCCGGGCGACGGUUGUCCCGGUUUAAGCGUGUAGGCUGGUUUUCCAGGCAAAUCCGGAAAAUCAAGGCUGAGGCGUGAUGACGAGGCACUACGGUGCUGAAGCAACAAAUGCCCUGCUUCCAGGAAAAGCCUCUAAGCAUCAGGUAACAUCAAAUCGUACCCCAAACCGACACAGGUGGUCAGGUAGAGAAUACCAAGGCGCUUGAGAGAACUCGGGUGAAGGAACUAGGCAAAAUGGUGCCGUAACUUCGGGAGAAGGCACGCUGAUAUGUAGGUGAAGCGACUUGCUCGUGGAGCUGAAAUCAGUCGAAGAUACCAGCUGGCUGCAACUGUUUAUUAAAAACACAGCACUGUGCAAACACGAAAGUGGACGUAUACGGUGUGACGCCUGCCCGGUGCCGGAAGGUUAAUUGAUGGGGUUAGCGGUAACGCGAAGCUCUUGAUCGAAGCCCCGGUAAACGGCGGCCGUAACUAUAACGGUCCUAAGGUAGCGAAAUUCCUUGUCGGGUAAGUUCCGACCUGCACGAAUGGCGUAAUGAUGGCCAGGCUGUCUCCACCCGAGACUCAGUGAAAUUGAACUCGCUGUGAAGAUGCAGUGUACCCGCGGCAAGACGGAAAGACCCCGUGAACCUUUACUAUAGCUUGACACUGAACAUUGAGCCUUGAUGUGUAGGAUAGGUGGGAGGCUUUGAAGUGUGGACGCCAGUCUGCAUGGAGCCGACCUUGAAAUACCACCCUUUAAUGUUUGAUGUUCUAACGUUGACCCGUAAUCCGGGUUGCGGACAGUGUCUGGUGGGUAGUUUGACUGGGGCGGUCUCCUCCUAAAGAGUAACGGAGGAGCACGAAGGUUGGCUAAUCCUGGUCGGACAUCAGGAGGUUAGUGCAAUGGCAUAAGCCAGCUUGACUGCGAGCGUGACGGCGCGAGCAGGUGCGAAAGCAGGUCAUAGUGAUCCGGUGGUUCUGAAUGGAAGGGCCAUCGCUCAACGGAUAAAAGGUACUCCGGGGAUAACAGGCUGAUACCGCCCAAGAGUUCAUAUCGACGGCGGUGUUUGGCACCUCGAUGUCGGCUCAUCACAUCCUGGGGCUGAAGUAGGUCCCAAGGGUAUGGCUGUUCGCCAUUUAAAGUGGUACGCGAGCUGGGUUUAGAACGUCGUGAGACAGUUCGGUCCCUAUCUGCCGUGGGCGCUGGAGAACUGAGGGGGGCUGCUCCUAGUACGAGAGGACCGGAGUGGACGCAUCACUGGUGUUCGGGUUGUCAUGCCAAUGGCACUGCCCGGUAGCUAAAUGCGGAAGAGAUAAGUGCUGAAAGCAUCUAAGCACGAAACUUGCCCCGAGAUGAGUUCUCCCUGACUCCUUGAGAGUCCUGAAGGAACGUUGAAGACGACGACGUUGAUAGGCCGGGUGUGUAAGCGCAGCGAUGCGUUGAGCUAACCGGUACUAAUGAACCGUGAGGCUUAACCUUACAACGCCGAAG
rnacentral:rRNA from 1 species